rnacentral:rRNA from 1 species
ACGCUGGCGGCACGCCUUAUACAUGCAAGUCGAACGAAGUAGUAAUACUUAGUGGCAGACGGGUGAGUAACAUGUAGGUAUCUUCCCUUUGGUGAGGAAUAACACGAGGAAACUUGUGCUAAUACCUCAUAAGUCUUACAGAGAAAGCUUUAUGCGCCGAAGGAUGAGCCUGCAUUUGAUUAGUUUGUUGGUGGGGUAAUGGCCUACCAAGACUUUGAUCAAUAGCUGAUCUGAGAGGAUGAUCAGCCACAUUGGGACUGAGACACGGCCCAAACUCCUACGGGAGGCAGCAGUAGGGAAUAUUGCACAAUGGAGGAAACUCUGAUGCAGCGAUGCCGCGUGAGUGAAGAAGGCCUUUGGGUUGUAAAGCUCUUUCGUCGGGGAAGAAAAUGACUGUACCCGAAUAAGAAGGUCCGGC